rnacentral:lncRNA from 1 species
AUUUAAAUACAUAAUGGUCACAGAAACAUAAUUAUAAAUCAUAAUUUAUUUAUUGAUCACAUAUUAUCAAAUUUAUUGGUCACGAAUUAUGUCGAGAUUACAAAUCAAAAAAUUCACACGUCACGGUUUAAUUUUAUAAGUCACACUUUAUGUCAUUGGUCACAAAUCAAAAAAAUUAUAGGUUACAGUUAAUCUGUUAGUCAUAUAUUUUCAAAUUUGUUGGUCACAUCUUAUAUUUUUAGUCACGGAUUAUCAAAUUUUAAAGUCACAGUUUUAUAAAUGGUCACACGGAAUCAAAUAUUUAGUCACAUACACCAAAUACCCAACCCCAAUUUCUAUCUAGAGUCAAUACUUGGUCACAAGCACUACACACCCUGCCACAACACCAACAAAAACAUCGCCAACACCACCACCGCCACUGCCAUUACGGCCACUUGCGACCACCCUCACCCCGCCACCACCACAGCUACUUCCAUCAGCUCUCCACAUACAAUUGCCUUCCGCACUAACAGAAACGCAUCGCUACCUCCAACAUAUUUUAUCAUCAUGCGAACUGGGCGUCGAAGGCACAAGGCAAUCUUGGAAAAUUGGAUGACAAAUGGUUAGGUCUUGUCAUGCUAUGCGAACUCAAAUCGCCGUGCGAAUUGUGCUAUCAUGCUGUAGACCGUUG